GACAGAGGUUGCAAACGUUGUUCGGAAUCACUGGGCGUAAAGCGCACGUAGGCGGAUGUGUCAGUCAGGGGUGAAAUCCCGGAGCUCAACUUCGGAACUGCCUUUGAUACAGCACGUCUUGAGUCCGAUAGAGGUGGGUGGAAUUCCUAGUGUAGAGGUGAAAUUCGUAGAUAUUAGGAAGAACACCGGUGGCGAAGGCGGCCCACUGGAUCGGUACUGACGCUGAGGUGCGAAAGCGUGGGGAGCAAACAGG
rnacentral:rRNA from 1 species